rnacentral:rRNA from 1 species
GUACACUCCUGCGGGAGGCAGCAGUGGGGAAUAUUGCACAAUGGGCGCAAGCCUGAUGCAGCCAUGCCGCGUGUAUGAAGAAGGCCUUCGGGUUGUAAAGUACUUUCAGCGGGGAGGAAGGCGAUAAGGUUAAUAACCUUGUUGAUUGACGUUACCCGCAGAAGAAGCACCGGCUAACUCCGUGCCAGCAGCCGCGGUAAUACGGAGGGUGCAAGCGUUAAUCGGAAUUACUGGGCGUAAAGCGCACGCAGGCGGUCUGUCAAGUCGGAUGUGAAAUCCCCGGGCUCAACCUGGGAACUGCAUUCGAAACUGGCAGGCUAGAGUCUUGUAGAGGGGGGUAGAAUUCCAGGUGUAGCGGUGAAAUGCGUAGAGAUCUGGAGGAAUACCGGUGGCGAAGGCGGCCCCCUGGACAAAGACUGACGCUCAGGUGCGAAAGCGUGGGGAGCAAACAGGAUUAGAAACCCCGGUAGUCCCA